rnacentral:lncRNA from 1 species
GUUUACAAGUUGAGCCUCGAUGUCGCUGAGUGCCUCGUCCACUUUCUUGUCGUCUACAUCAAAGAGGUCCACCGUGUAGCCGGCGCCGGCGAACAGCAUUGCCCAGCUUCGGCCGAUCAGGCCGCUGGAAGCAACAGAUGCAUGCCUGACCAGUCUGGAUAUUUGCAAGUCGACAAGUGGGGUUUGUUUCUGGCUAGCAAAGUGAAGAAAUAUAACUUCUAUGCAAAAACUGUUUAACACUGCAACAUCCGAAGUUUUCAAUACAUUUAUUAGAUUUCAAACAUUCUUCAUUCAACAUGCGUGUAGAAGCAACCAUAAAACAGGCACAUU